rnacentral:lncRNA from 1 species
UGGACACGGAAUUUUUCAACAUCAGACUCCUUACAGUGCUCAGAGUUUUAGCUGCUAAUACAGUUGGUCUUCAAUUCAAAUUAGCAACUUUUUCUUUAUUUGGUUGGUUCUUUGGGGGGUGAGUAGGUCUGAUCAGAAUUCAGAUCAGCUCCAGAAAAUAUCCUUGUCCCUGAACAGAUCCCUGUGAUUGUCUCACAUUACAGGCAGCCCAAUGGAAACCUUCUGGCUGGGCUUUGGGGGUCGUGAUAACGGAAACAGUCUAUUGGGAAACCUAGAAAACACAUGGUAAACCUGCAGCACCCUCCUGAGAGAAGAACUUUGAGUCUCACUCACACUGUGUGUUCCGUCCCCUAGCAACCAGAAGGAGAUGGAGGCAUUCCUCUUUCACUGGGUUACUAAGCAGAGUGUAUUUCUUCUCCUGCCAAUUCAGCUGACAACUAUCACUGUUAAUUGGCCCAGGAGCACUCACAAGUUCCCUAUUUAAGAAGCAACAUUUUUCCCUUUUGCUUUUUUUUAUGGAGGGUUUGUUUCUUUCUCAUUCUUCUGUUUUCAGUGUCAUUCUCCUGCUUGCUUUAAUGCUGAUUCUUACAUAACGUGCAUCAAUGACUGUUCUUUGCAAUCAGAUGUUUGGGUCCCUUUGUGCAAAACAUGUGGGUAUAAAGCAUCUUCCACUCAACUAAUGCUGUGGCACAUCAGUUGGAGGCCCAGGAACUGCUGGGGGUCUCAGGCUGAGAAAAGGCACCCUACUAUCAGAACUCUUGGAAAUAGUCUCCACAUCUCCUAGGAAAUUACUCAUUUAUCCACAGAUCGAAAGCUUGAAAUUACAGAUGAUUGAUAGGGAAUGUUAAGAGGGAAGAAAAAUGGCAUAAGCCCUCCUCUACUCCCAGAUGAUGGGGAAGCUGUCACAAACUGGAGCAUACAGGAAUCACUGCUGCCAUACAGAUAAGGUCAAUGUGCCCAUUCCAAGUUUGCAGAGAGGAGCUUCCUCCCAUUCACCAGCCAGCAUGACUCCAAAGAAGCAAGGCCUCCCCUGGGAGAGGACCUCUGUGAGGUCCUCCCACCAGCCAUUUCACUCAGGCUCUGCCAUGCCAGAGAACAGAGAUUUGCUCACAGCCCUAAGGCACUGUGGACCUAAUCAGGCCUUAAAUUACCAGAACAGGGCAAGAGGAAAGAAGGCCCCACUGCUUCAGGAAAGCCCAGCUAUGUGGCAGCCACUGAUAGAAAUGUGCUGGGAGAGGAGCAUCUUUAAAACGGCAUCCCUGAUUCUGGCCUGAAGUGCUUCAUUUUUAGCUGAAUUCAGCCACCAGGAAACUUAUCCUAAAGCUGUGCUUUCCCCUUUGAGCUCAUUUGAAAAAAUACUUCUUGCUUCGGUGAGGAAGAAAUCUGAGUAGUUUUCCCAGCACAGAGGUUUUUUUAAGAAUCUUCAUAUUGUGUGAGAGCCUCUUUUGGUGCUUACUGCUGAAACAAAAGGCGUGGUGAAUAAAACUAUUGUAACAGUUGCA